AAUUAUCAACCAAUGAAAAAACACGCGAUAGGGUAUUUAAACCGAAAUAACCCUCUUUUUCUCUGCUAACUCUAUUGGGAAUAAACUGUAGACAAUUCUUCCACUUCACAGAGGUUUAAGGUUUAUCCACAUUGUCUGACAAUGUCUGGACGAGGUCAAAGCCAAGCGAACAACGACAAUAAGUCGAACCAAUGCAACCCAAACAACCAGGAAUAUAAAGGCCACACAAGCGGUUAUUCCGGAACCGGAACUAAAUCGGACCUGGAUAACCAUAGCAACCAAUUAAAUCCCAAUAACGAACGAUUCCAGCCGAAGCAGAAGUAAUAAUGGCGGGAAAAUGUGACGAAUUUGAUGUCUUCAGUUAAUUCAUUGGAAUUCUCUGUAGAACUCUUUAAAAUCUUAAUGUUCUCUAUUUAAAGCACUUUCAAUAAAAACAAAAUUCAAAAAACGAA